ACCUGGCAUAUGUCUUUAAAACGGCGGUUCAAAGCUGAAAGGACGCCCCUGGUCCACCACGAGGUAGUUCGAAACAUGAAGCAAAAGUUUGGGCAUCAUAGAUCACCCCAAGCACCAGAAAAUAACCAGGGAAGCAUAACGACUUCUGUCAGAUGAUCUUGAGACAUCAUUUCUGUUUCUGGGGAGGACGAGUCCUCCAUUGGUGCACACACACAGGUUUUGAAACGACAAUACCUGAAGACCCAGCCUGAUUCCUGCAUCGUUACCAACGCAAUGACAAAGACAUUUCAGUGGAGGAGAAAGGAGGUGGCUGAGGGGGUACGGGCUGAUACUAUCGCCAAUAAGUAUCCAUUCUUGAAGACACCUGCUGGGUUGUGUGAGGAAAUGAACCGCAUCCACAACAUUGAAAACCUGCAGCACCGCUUCAGAGAGGAAUUUCUCCUCAUUCUACCCAAGGUGCUGGCCCUUGCAAGAGGAAAAUCCCCUCUGGAGAAGAUAUAUCUGCAGGCAGGACAAGAGUCACUGAGCGAAGAUCUACCAGGUAAUGCUGUCUGUGUACAGGUGUCACUGCGUCGUAGGGCUGCUCGAUUAUGGCAAAAAUCCUAAUCACGAUUAUUCAUUGACUUUGAAAACAUCCAUUUAUUGAACUUUAAAAAAUAUAUAUUUUGAACAAUAUGUUUUAACAGUUGAUUACCCUGUAAUGUAACGUAAAAAAAACAAAAACAUUUAUAUCUACAUUUAAAUAAAUAAUAUCAAAAUAAUAAAUACAGAAGAUAAACAAAUAUUUUGGAGCGCACUUCCACAACCUACUAAACAUAUAUAAAUAUGAUAACUAAUGUCACUCACAACCUGUAAUGUUUAAUUAUACUGCUACACGCAGUACUCUUAUUUUGGUAACCCCUCACCUGGAAACAGGAAGUAGUUAAGAGGCUCCGGCUUGACGAGGUUAGUAAAAGUUGACUGUACGCUAGAGAUCGGAGAAUAAAGACACAGCAACUAAAGCUUCCCUUGUAACGUAUGGAUUUAUUAAACAGACUGCAAGACACAACCUGGCCGAGCGGGCUUUUAGGGAGGGCAGGAUGUGUAACGCAAGACACAUUGAGAGCAUCAUUGCGAAAGGGAAUGCACAGAUUAAUUGCACAGCCCUACUGCGUCCUAGCUUCCACCCUCACUUGCCCACGUGGGUACGAUCUCAUCCUCUGACUUACAAACUCUUGUGACCACCUCAAACACCACCAACUACGCCACUGAAAUGCUAGUAUUCAAUGGUGCGGGUGGGCGAUUUAUACUGAGGAGUGAGUUUAAUCAAUUCAACUCACUUACAUCUGCACACAUUGCUCCCUUUUCUAAUAGCAGACCGUGUUCCACCAGAUAGUAAAUAUUGGAAUGUGUUCCUCUUGUGUCGUGAGAUUUCAGAUAUUGUCAUGGCAUCUACAGUAAAAAAGCGGUGUCUUCCCAUGUUAGACUUACUUGUACAGGAGUUCCUCGGAGAAAUGAAAGACGUAUUUGGGAUCAUUACACCCAAGUGCCAUUAUAUGAUACAAUACU